GUUCGGAUUGGUUUGUCGUCUAGCACGCUUCUGUCCAUAAUGAGCUGCUCAGUAGGUGUAGGUAAUCCUUUCUAACUGGGAUUUUUUUUAAACACACCUCUCCACUUUCUGGAGGACCACAUUUUGAAAUCACUGGAAGCAGAGUAUGAUAGCUAAGGAGAUGGAGAAAAUUCAGGCGUUUGAUUGCAAAUGUGGAAGGAGUCGAAAAGAGAACACAGAAGGCUGUUGUAUAAAACACCUCUCUGGAAUACAUCUUCAAACUAAAGGCAACCAUGGCAUCUAUGACAGAAAAGGAGAAGCCUUCAUUCAUGUUUACAGGUGAAAGAGUCUAGCUAGCUACAUUUUCAGAUAUUAUAAUUUUCAAUUUUGUCAGAGAGUCCCUAAUGUUAGCUAGCUAGCUAACAUUGAACCUAGUUUGUUAGCGUUUAGCUACCUGUAGAUUCAUGCAGGGUAGUAUUGUUAUGAGUUGAGAUUAUAGUUCAUUGUUUAACUAGCUAGCUACAUGUCUAAACAAAAGACUCCACUAUGCAAGUAACCAUUUCACUGUACCAUUUACACCUUCUGUAUCCUGUGCAUGUGAGAAAUAAACUUUGAUUUUAUUUGAUAUAGUGUGUGUUUACCAGAGACAGUAAUGUGAAGAACAACAUUACCCGCACCAAAGUCAAAUUAGGAUAUAACGUUAGGCCAACGAGACAGAGUCCAUGUUCUAAAAUUAUUUCAGUAGAAUGCCCUGCUUUUAUUUCUUCACACUCACAACUGUAAGCUAUUUUCUUUAAUAUUCUGUAACUUGUAAAUAAUGAUCUUGUUGUGAGUUUAUUUUCCUGUAAUAUUGAACUGUAUACAGACAUGUUGACAGACGUAGUAUAAGCCAGCCUUUAGUCUUGAAAUCUUUGGUUGUUUAGUACACGAAUGUACUCACUGUUUAGCACAUGGCCUCACAUGUGAAUCCUUAAAGAGAUGAGUGGUUGUAUGUAUAUAUGUUCAGAACUUUUGUGAAAUAGCACAGUUACAAAUAGAAAUCAAACUGGAUGGACAUCAGAAAUAGAGGAAGGACUAAAAACAAACAAAAUAUAACUAUUGUAAAAUAGAUUGUGUCUGUAAAAUGUGUAUAAGAUAUAUAAACGGAAGGUAGAAGCCUAAGUGUUUAUUGGUUUACUCUAAUUGGGGGAAGGGUGGUAGGGUUUGCAGGGAAUAAUAAAGGUAUAUUCAAAAAAAAGUAUGUAUGUCUAUAUAGGUAUGUGUAUGUAUAUAUGUGUAUAUGUAUGCAUGCGUGUAUGUAUAUGGAUGUAUAUAUUUACCCAAAAAAUAUAUGGGGGAUUGGAAAUGAUGCAGACAAUUACAUUGAUGGAAGCAACAUUCUUUCCGCAAUAUUAAGCUGAUCCACCCCUUAAAAUAAAAAAUAAAAAAAUGAAGAGAUGGGUGGGGGUAAGGCUUAAUACAAAUAUUGAUGAUUGAUGCUGAAUGUGUGUAGACAAAGAAGAACUCUCCAGUAGGCGUACGAAAAUAUUCAAGGGACAUUUU
rnacentral:lncRNA from 1 species